AUUGAACGCUGGCGGCAUGCCUUACACAUGCAAGUCGAACGGCAGCACGGGAGCAAUCCUGGUGGCGAGUGGCGAACGGGUGAGUAAAGUAUCGGAACGUGCCCAGUCGUGGGGGAUAACGUAGCGAAAGUUACGCUAAUACCGCAUACGAUCUAUGGAUGAAAGCGGGGGAUCGCAAGACCUCGCGCGAUUGGAGCGGCCGAUAUCAGAUUAGGUAGUUGGUGGGGUAAAGGCUCACCAAGCCGACGAUCUGUAGCUGGCCUGAGAGGACGACCAGCCACACUGGGACUGAGACACGGCCCAGACUCCUACGGGAGGCAGCAGUGGGGAAUUUUGGACAAUGGGCGAAAGCCUGAUCCAGCCAUGCCGCGUGCAGGAUGAAGGCCUUCGGGUUGUAAACUGCUUUUGUACGGAACGAAAAGGUUUGGCCUAAUAAGCUGAGCUCAUGACGGUACCGUAAGAAUAAGCACCGGCUAACUACGUGCCAGCAGCCGCCGCAG
rnacentral:rRNA from 1 species